rnacentral:lncRNA from 1 species
CCCCUUUUUUCAAAAUUUUCUUCUUUUAUUUUUCCUCUGGAUUUCAGACCAGAUGGCGGCCGGCUCCGGCAUGUUGCCGUCAUAGCUUCGCCAUAACUCUGCCGUGAGCGGUGGUCGGAGCCAGAAAAAGAUGGGCUUUCAACCCCGUUCCCGAAUCCUUUUAAAGACCCGACUCUCUGGACCCAAGAGGCUGAAAAAGGAGGGGUCUUUCGUACCCUU